rnacentral:rRNA from 1 species
CCUACGGGCGGCAGCAGUGGGGAAUAUUGCACAAUGGGCGCAAGCCUGAUGCAGCCAUGCCGCGUGUGUGAAGAAGGCCUUCGGGUUGUAAAGCACUUUCAGCGGGGAGGAAGGCGGUUAGGUUAAUAACCUCAUCGAUUGACGUUACCAGCAGAAGAAGCACCGGCUAACUCCGUGCCAGCAGCCGCGGUAAUACGGAGGGUGCAAGCGUUAAUCGGAAUUACUGGGCGUAAAGCGCACGCAGGCGGUCUGUCAAGUCGGAUGUGAAAUCCCCGGGCUCAACCUGGGAACUGCAUUCGAAACUGGCAGGCUAGAGUCUUGUAGAGGGGGGUAGAAUUCCAGGUGUAGCGGUGAAAUGCGUAGAGAUCUGGAGGAAUACCGGUGGCGAAGGCGGCCCCCUGGACAAAGACUGACGCUCAGGUGCGAAAGCGUGGGGAGCAAACAGGAUUAGAUACCCGAGUAGUC